GAUGAACGCUUGCGGCGUGCCUAAUACAUGCAAGUCGAGCGAACAGAUGAGGAGCUUGCUCCUCUGACGUUAGCGGCGGACGGGUGAGUAACACGUGGAUAACCUACCUAUAAGACUGGGAUAACUUCGGGAAACCGGAGCUAAUACCGGAUAAUAUAUUGAACCGCAUGGUUCAAUAGUGAAAGACGGUUUUGCUGUCACUUAUAGAUGGAUCCGCGCCGCAUUAGCUAGUUGGUAAGGUAACGGCUUACCAAGGCAACGAUGCGUAGCCGACCUGAGAGGGUGAUCGGCCACACUGGAACUGAGACACGGUCCAGACUCCUACGGGAGGCAGCAGUAGGGAAUCUUCCGCAAUGGGCGAAAGCCUGACGGAGCAACGCCGCGUGAGUGAUGAAGGUCUUCGGAUCGUAAAACUCUGUUAUUAGGGAAGAACAAAUGUGUAAGUAACUAUGCACGUCUUGACGGUACCUAAUCAGAAAGCCACGGCUAACUACGUG
rnacentral:rRNA from 1 species